rnacentral:rRNA from 1 species
UACGAGGGGGCGAGCGUUGUUCGGCAUUAUUGGGCGUAAAGGGCUCGUAGGCGGUUUGUCGCGUCGGGAGUGAAAACACGGGGCUUAACCCCGUGCCUGCUUCCGAUACGGGCAGACUAGAGGUAUGCAGGGGAGAACGGAAUUCCUGGUGUAGCGGUGAAAUGCGCAGAUAUCAGGAGGAACACCGGUGGCGAAGGCGGUUCUCUGGGCAUUACCUGACGCUGAGGAGCGAAAGUGUGGGGAGCGAACAGG